rnacentral:rRNA from 1 species
ACAGAAGAAAGACACCGGCGUAACGUACCGUCGCCACGCAGACCGCGGUAAUACGGAGGGUGCGAGCGUUAAUCGGAAUUACUGGGCGUAAAGCGCAUGCAGGUGGUUUGUUAAGUCAGAUGUGAAAGCCCGGGGCUCAACCUCGGAAUAGCAUUUGAAACUAGGCAGACUAGAGUACUGUAGAGGGGGGUAGGAAUUUCAGGUGUAGCGGUGAAAUGCGUAGAGAUCUGAAGGAAUACCGGUGGCGAAGGCGGCCCCCUCGGACAGAUACUGACACUCAGAUGCGAAAGCGUGGGGAGCAAACAGGAUUAGAUACCCUGGUAG